rnacentral:lncRNA from 1 species
GCAGAUUUCCAGAGUAUGUUUUUUAUAGCUCUUCUAGGAGAAGUUUAGUUGAAGGAACAGAUCAGAAAAUAGAAGCAAAUGAAACUUGAGCCAGUGUGGGUUUUCCUGUUAUUUUUCCAAACUUUUUUGAACACGUACAUUCAGUCAACUAAAGAACUUCUCAUUUGUCUGCAUACUUCUUUCCACUUGUCCAGCAGAGGAAAGGCCAGAGUUUGAAAUAUAAAAUGGUGGUGCUUCAGGCAGCUGUAUUCAACUGAUUUUCUUUCUGGUUUGCCUCAAAAUGGUACUGAUUUUAGUAAUUAGAUUAUGCACUUGGCCUACCUGUAGCUGAAAUAUUUUUAGUCUUAUGUAGUCUGAAGCUUUCUGUUAGCUGUAUGUUAAAGAAUGUUCAAGAGCAUAAAUGGAAAGAAAUGGAAUAAAAUGCUUAGCAAAUUGCUUCUGGAUUGACUUUUCCUGGACAGUAGAUAGGAAUAACUUCUUCAUUUCUCCCAGUGCAUGUAGUUUUGACUCAGCCAUGCCUCUGUUGCAGGUUGCCCAUGCCAGCACAUGAUGUAUCACUAGGAAGACCAAAACAUUUUGCAAGGAACAAUAUGCCUUGGGUAAAAUGAAAUGUUUGAUAUUAAAGGUACCAUCUUGACCUUGGUGAAUUUCAGCAACACCUUCAAGAACUCGUUUGUUCUACAUUUGUGGAUUGGCAAAAGCAUGAGCAGAAGCAGCUUAUCCAGUGGAAAAUUUUUGCCUUCUGCAUCUGCAGCAGUAUAA